rnacentral:lncRNA from 1 species
CUCUCGUUGGCGGUAGGAGUGGACCAAAGCGCAGCGUGGUAAGUGUUCAAAAUGUAUUAUAUAUAACGAAACACUUAAACAAAGAAACAAAACGAAAGCCAACAGUUCUGUCAGGUCACUGAUAACAAAACAGAAAACAAUUACCCACAAACACAGGUGGAAAACAGGCUGCCUAAGUAUGAUUCACAAUCAGAGACAACGAUAGACAGCUGCCUCUGAUUAGGAACCAUACUCUGCCAAAACAAAGAAAUACAAUACAUAGAAUGCCCACCCCAUAUCACACUCUGACCUAACUAAACAGAGAAAAACGUCUCUCUCAGGUCAGGGCGUGACAGUGUGUGUGUGUGUGUGUGGUCUUGAUCCUCUAUCCUUGUGGAGACCUAAAAUCCCCAAUGUCUCCACAAGGAUAGUAAAACAAGGAAAAUUCUCCCUCGUUGGGACAUUUCCCACGUCCCCAUGAGGACAAAGGCUAUUUUAAGCUUAGGGGUUAGGUUUAGGGUUAGGAUUUGUGUUACAAUUAGGUUUAGGAUUUGUGUUAGAAUUAGGGUUAGGUUUAGGAUUUGUGUUAGAAUUAGGGUUAGGGUUAUGAUUUGUGUUAGAAUUAGGGUUAGGUUAAGGGCUAGGUUUAAGGUUUCCUGGAGAGCUUGUGCCCCUCUACCUAUAUUAGUGCUGAAUUAUAUUGUUUUAUACACAUGUAUAUUUUAUUCUGUUUUUAUUGUAAUGUGAUUUUAUAAUCUCAAUGUGACUCCCUGAUUAAAUAAAAGGUUAAAUACAAAAUAAAAGGAAAAUAGGAUUCUGAAUGAAAAUCAAUUUUAGGUCCCCAUGAGGAUAGAAGAACGAGUGUUGGUGUGUGAAAUAUUAAACCAAGGCAGCAGCAGCAUUGUUUUUACCCAGCUACAGAAGAGGUCAAUACGAGCAGUGAGAGGUCCAAUUUUACCCAGCUACAGAAGAGGUCAAUACGAGCAGUGAGAGGUCCAAUUUUUACCCAGCUACAGAAGAGGUCAAAAUGAGAAGUGACAGGUCCAGUUUUUACCCAGCUACAGACGAGGUCAAAAUGAGAAGUGAGAGGUCCAGUUUUUACCCAGCUACAGAAGAGGUCAAAAUGAGAAGUGACAGAUCCAGUUUUUACCCAGCUACAGAAGAGGUCAAAAUGAACAGUGAGAGGUCCAGUUUUUACCCAGCUACAGAAGAGGUCAAAAUGAGCAGUGAGAGUUCCAGUUUUUACCCAGCUCCAGAAGAGGUCAAAAUGAGAAGUGAAACUCAGAGGUAUUGUUAUGUGAUAUUACCUCGAUUGACUUACUCAGCAUAAGCCUCAUGUCUUCUGUUAAAAACAAAGGACAUGUCAGUAUAGACGGUUACUGGAAAUUCACAAAUGAAGCCAGCAGUCGUGGCCUUAAAUCCAGCUCCAUGGACCCUGACUGUUCUGUACUACAUCUACUGAAUAAUGUCUGCCAUUUAGAAGAUGCUUUUAUUCAAAGCCACUUACAGUCUUAUGUGUUAUACAUGUUACGUACGGCUGGUCCCGGGAAUCAAACCCACUAUCCUGCACUCACCAAUCAUACCCACUCUACUAUAUCAGGUCUAGGACAUCACCCCAGUCACCCAUCAUAUCCACUCUACUAUAUCUGGUCUAGGACAUCACCCAUCAUACUUACUAUAUCUGGUCUGGGACAUCACCCCAGUCACCCAUCAUACCCACUCUACUAUACCAGGUCUAGGACAUCACCCAACAUUACCACUCUACUAUAUCAGGUCUGGGACAUCACCCAUCAUACCCAGUCUAUUAUAUCUGGUCUAGGACAUCACCCAUCAUACCCACUCUACUAUAUCAGCUCUGGGACAUCACCCAUCAUACCCACUGUACUAUAUCUGGUCUAGGGCAUCACCCAUCAUACCCACUCUACUAUAUCUGGUCUAGGGCAUCUCCCAUCAUACCCAUUCUACUAUUUCAGGUCAAGGGCAUCACCCAUCAUACCCACUCUACUAUAUCUGGUCUAGGACAUCACCCAUCAUACCCACUCUACUAUAUCUGGUCUGGGACAUCACCCCAGUCACCCAUCAUACCCACUCUACUAUAUCAGGUCUAGGACAUCACCCCAGUCACCCAUCAUACCCACUCUACUAUAUCUGGUCUAGGACAUCACCCAUCAUACCCACUCUACUAUUUCAGGUCUAGGACAUCACCCAUCAUACCCAGUCUACUAUAUCUGGUCUAGGACAUCACCCAUCAUACCCACUCUACUAUAUCAGGUCUAGGACAUCACCCAUCAUACCCACUCUACUAUAUCAGGUCUAGGACAUCACCCAUCAUACCCACUCUACUAUAUCAGGUCUAGGACAUCACCCCAGUCACCCAUCAUACCCAAUCUACUAUAUCAGGUCUAGGACAUCACCCCAGUCACCCAUCAUACCCACCCUACUAUAUCAGGUCUAGGACAUCACCCAUCAUACCCACU